rnacentral:lncRNA from 7 species
AUUAUAUAUUGGGUUUAUAAAAAGGUAAGCAUUUGCAGGCCACUUUCUGCCCGGUUGAAGUCCCCGUCUUCGUCAUCUUCUAGCAGCAGUGACUGCGGGAGUCUUGGCCGGCCGGCGGCGAGACUCCUCCCCUUUCUCCUAUUUCUCUGCACACAUAGUCACAUACAUACGUAUAUGCUUGUUCUCCGCCGCCUCCGCUUCCCGCUGCCACGCCCUCUUCUCGUCUCCUCCUCCUUAGCCCCUCUCUCACCCUCGACCUCUAGUUCCUCCUGUUGGUCGUCGACAGGCGAAGGUAGAAGG